AUCCAUCUGAUCACUCCCAAACAGGACGAAACGCGCGUCCUCGAU
rnacentral:hammerhead_ribozyme from 1 species